CGAUUGGUGAAGGCCGCCGUCGAGGGAACCAAUUAGAAACGCAUUCUCUCUGGCCCACCCAACUCCCUCCCCCGCAAUGCCGCAGUGCUUCGCUGGGUGCGAUGGUCUAUCCGCAGUGUCGGCCCUAUUUUCGUCAGGUCUGGACCAGCCUCAGAGGCCUUGUCCCGCCCCCGGCAGUCGGACGUGAUGGGGAAGGAGUCGAGGCUUUGGACUUGAGAAAGAAGAAUAUCUUUAAUGGGCUAGAAAAAAGGAAUCCUAGUGUAGAAUAUCCUGUGCUGGCACUGGAGUCAACAAGACCAGGCUGGGAAAUGAGUUCGGCUUUAAAGAAAAAAAAUCUUGAUUAGCAAUUGCUAAAACAUCGUUUUUCUACUCUCCGGUAGAAACAUCCACUUGAGAUGAAAAUGAAAGUUGACCUAAAUCAAGAAUGAAAAGUUUCCAAAACAAUAAAGUAACAUCACUUGUUUAA